rnacentral:rRNA from 1 species
AUGGAUUAGGCAUGCAAGUCGAACGGUGUAGCAAUACACAGUGGCGGAAGGGUGAGGAACACGUGAAUAAUCUGCCCUCAAGUUGGGAAUAACUUUCCGAAAGGAAAGCUAAUACCGAAUGUGGUUGUUUUAUCGCAUGAUAGGACAACUAAAGAUUUAUCGCUUGAGGAUGAGUCCGCGUCCCAUUAGCUAGUUGGCGGGUAACGGCCCACCAAGGCAGAGAUGGGUAGCUGGUCUGAGAGGAUGAUCAGCCACACUGGGACUGAGACACUGCCCAGACUCCUACGGGAGGCUGCAGUCGAGAAUCUUUUGCAAUGCGCGAAAGCGUGACAAAGCAAUGCCGCGUGCCGGAUGAAGGUCUUCGGAUUGUAAACGGCUGUCACUCGGGACGAAAAAUGACGGUACCGAGGGAGGAAGCCACGGCUAACUACGUGCCAGCCGCCGC